GGGGAUAUAGCUCAGUUGGUAGAGUGCUUGCCUUUUGUGCAAGACCUGGGUUCAAUCCCCAGCACACCCC
rnacentral:tRNA from 1 species